rnacentral:rRNA from 1 species
UACGGAGGGCGCGGGCGUUGUCCGGAAUCACUGGGCGUAAAGGGCGCGUAGGCGGCCCUGGUAAGUCUGCGGUGAAAGCCCGGGGCUCAACCCCGGGUCGGCCGCGGGUACUGCCGGGCUGGAGUGCCGUAGGGGCAGGCGGAAUUCCGGGUGUAGCGGUGGAAUGCGUAGAGAUCCGGAAGAACACCGGUGGCGAAGGCGGCCUGCUGGGCGGCGACUGACGCUGAGGCGCGACAGCGUGGGGAGCAAACAGG